rnacentral:lncRNA from 1 species
CGGAUAUAAAGAAAAUGAAUUUAUUUUUAAUUCCAACAAAAAUGAUUUACAAAAACAUUUGUAAAUGUAGUUAUUGAAUUUAUAUGCAUUGCAUAUUUAUUUAAUUUAGCAUUCAAGUAUUUUCACGAGCUAUUUAUUUAAGCAAACACUGAACGAUUAUUACAGUUUUCAUAGUACAACCCGGAAGACUUUUUAUUUUAUUCAAUCACCUAAUUUCUCCACCUAAUUUAUCCACCUACUCUUCCACCACUAAUUUUUUCUUUUCCCUACCACUAACUUAUUUUUAUCUAAUAAACAUGAGUGGAAGUGUGAUGAGUGAAGAUAGGAUUAGUGUGCUAAGGUGGUAGGGAACCAAGCUUUAAUCAUGAAUAAUGCUUUGUCCUUAAUCAUUCUUCCAUUGCAAGACAAAGCUCAUCACUUCACUCCCUCACACUUCAAUUCUCGGCCUCCCCUCUCUCUCUCUAUACUCUCUUUUCCUCUAUUGAUGUCCAUUGAAGAAAGCUUAGAGAAGCUUCAUCAAACACUACUAUGAGAUAAUCCACCAUCCAAUCCAAUCAAAUACUAUCAUAUCUCAUCAAAUUCAAGAAGCUAGAGCUAAGAUCAAAGUUGGAGCAAAGUCUUGAUCACCUUUUAAAUCCUUGAGUAAGUGAUCUUAGAUUAUUUAUUUGAUCAUAUUAAUGAUAUGUGAGUGAGUAUAUGAUCAUGAUUGAGCAAGAAAAUCACCCAAUUUAUUUUUAUGAAACUUUCGAAAAUUAGGAGCUUGAAACCCUACGAAUUUUGUUGUUUAUUUUCUUGACUUGGCUUGAGUUAUAUGAUGAUGGAUUUGAGUUUAUGAGAUGAUCUAGAUGAUUAAUGAUGGAUGAGAUUGAAGCUUGAGGUUGAGAAGUGAAAAAUGAAAAAUGUUAGUUUGAGGAAGAAGAUGAUAUAUAUGUGUUUCUAUAUGUGAUUUUGUUAUAUGAUGUUGAUUUGAAGAUUUGAGUGGGUAUAUGAUUUCUUGAGCAUGCUAUGAUGUUAAGUGAUGGUUUAGAUUGAUGAUUAGAAGUGAUGAAAUGAGUUUUGGGAUGAGUUGUUGUUGAGAAUUAUGAUGUUAUAUUCAAGUUAGAGAUAUUAUUAAGAUAUAUAAGUUUUAAAUACAAAUUGGAGAAUUUCGUAGGCCUACUGACCUACUGUGAUCGAUGGUUUGUCGAUGUCUAAUAGCUUUGAAAAUUUUAUAGCAAGUUUCUACAUGAGUAUUGAGUACCCUGGUAAAAUUUCAAGCUAUUUCAAUUUCGUUUGAUAUUUCUUUAAAAUGCAAAACCUAAACUGCACAUUACCACCGAGAAUUUCAGAGAACAGUGGAAAGAGUCAUUCAUUUCAGUAGCUUCCUGUGUGAUAUAGAUUUCCAAAUUUUUAUGGUAUUAACCUUAUUGUGUUAUCUAGAUAUCCACCAAAUUUGAGCCCAGUUUGACAACGUUUACUAUUUUCAAAAAUCAAAGUUUUCGAUUGCUCAAAACUGCCGAAUAUGGUAGAUCGUGGUAAAAACGUCAUAUCUCUCAAACCACUUGGAGUUUUCGCCUCUACUUUUUUUUAUAUGAAACUAGACUCGAAGAUCUUUCUUUUGGUAUGAGUCUCGAGUCCAGGAGAUGUCAGAGUCAGAACAGAUUAAAUUUUGAAGUUGAACCAGUGUAAAAACAGAGCAUGUUUUAAUGAUGUUUGAUUGUGAUUCUUAUGUGCCUUAUGUGAUUGUGUUGCCUAUGUGUUUGAAUUUUCACUAAAUUAUUUUAGUGAAUUUAAAUCUCUUGAUUUAAAUUUUAAUAUUUAAGGUUGGGACUAUUUAUUUUAAAUGAGGUCCGUUCUUUUAUUUAAUUUAUUGAUGGACUUUAAAAAUGAAAACAAAUUUUGGGAUUAAACCCUCAUUUUUAUAAUAUUUCAAGGCUUUUUGAGUAUGGAUUUUAAAUGGUUAAAAUGUUUUAUUUCAUCUCAAUGGAUUUUAAAAUGUUUUAUUAUUUAUAAAUGAAUAAUGGAAUUUCUUAUUUAUUU